rnacentral:rRNA from 1 species
UCAUCGGGCGGUGGAUUUCGCCGGCGCCGCCCUGUUGCUCUCCACGAAGGCCUUCAUCUUCAGGAAAACCUUGCCGGCGUCAGCGACAGGGAAGCCGUAGAACCCGUGGAAGCCGUCCGGGUACUCCGCCACCUGAACAUUCACCCCCUUCCGUCGCAGCACGUCGGCGUACCGCCGCUGCCAGUCCUGCAGCGGGUCGAACCCGCCGAUCACCAGCAGCGUCGGCGGGAACUCCUCGGCCAGCUCGGCGUUGUCGUCGGUCACGUGCGCCGCAGGGUGGUCGCGGGUGGCUCCCACGGGCAGGAACGCCUUCCACGAGAAGUCGGAGCGCUCGAGGUUCACCACCGGCGCCACGCCCUCCAGCCUGAGCUCCGACUCCGUCCGCUCCUCGCCGCCGAAGUAGGGCUGCACAGGGAUGAUGCCGGCGAGGCGGAGGGACUUGGCGGCGUGCUGGUGCUCGGCGGCCCAGCGGCUGGCGACGUGGUGGACGAUGUUGGCCCCCGCGCUCUCCCCGGUGAGAAAGCAGCUGGCGAGGUCGACGGGGACGCCGUCGCCGAGGCCCGGGACGCCGCCGGCGUCGUCGAGGAAGCGGAGCGCGUCGACGCCGUCGUCGUACGCCGCCGGGUAGCGGUGCUCCGGGGCGAGGCGGUAGUUGACGGACACGACCACGGCGCCGACGUCGCUGCAGAGGCGGCGGCACACGCCGUUGAAGGGGCCGAUGGCCGGGGAGAAGAGCGCGAAGCCGCCGCCGUGGUAGUAGACGACGACGGGCAGCGGCACCGCCGAGGAGACCGGCGCGAAGACGCGCGCCCAGAUGCCGCGGGAGGCGUCGACGGUGAAGUCGUAGGAGCGCACGCCGGAGCCGUCCGGGCGCGGGUUGGCGCGCGCGCUCAGCAGCCGGUCGAUCACCGAGUAGAGGCAGCGGUUGACGGUGCCGUCGCUGCGCUCCACGGCGUCGAUGGCGGCCGUGAGGCCCGCCAGCUGGAGCCGCACCCCCAGCGGCAGCGGCGGCGGCGUCGGGCGCUCUCCCUGACCCGCGGCGGCUUCCAU